rnacentral:rRNA from 1 species
GCCUAAUACAUGCAAGUCGAACGCUUCUUUCCUCCCGAGUGCUUGCACUCAAUUGGAAAGAGGAGUGGCGGACGGGUGAGUAACACGUGGGUAACCUACCCAUCAGAGGGGGAUAACACUUGGAAACAGGUGCUAAUACCGCAUAACAGUUUAUGCCGCAUGGCAUAAGAGUGAAAGGCGCUUUCGGGUGUCGCUGAUGGAUGGACCCGCGGUGCAUUAGCUAGUUGGUGAGGUAACGGCUCACCAAGGCCACGAUGCAUAGCCGACCUGAGAGGGUGAUCGGCCACACUGGGACUGAGACACGGCCCAGACUCCUACGGGAGGCAGCAGUAGGGAAUCUUCGGCAAUGGACGAAAGUCUGACCGAGCAACGCCGCGUGAGUGAAGAAGGUUUUCGGAUCGUAAAACUCUGUUGUUAGAGAAGAACAAGGACGUUAGUAACUGAACGUCCCCUGACGGUAUCUAACCAGAAAGCCACGGCUAACUACGUGCCAGCAGCC